rnacentral:RNase_P_RNA from 1 species
CGGGUCGGCCGGAGUGGUCGCCCGUGAUUCAUCGCAAGAUGAGGCGCGGGAGGAAAGUCCGGACACCACAAGGCAGCAUGCCACGCGAAAGCGUGGGGGCCGCGACGCAAGCCGCGGUCACAGACAGUGUCACAGAAAACAAACCGCCUCCGCGCAAGUGGCGGCAAGGGUGAAAAGGCGGGGUAAGAGCCCACCGCCCCGACCGUGAGGAAGGGGGCACGACAAACCUCAUGCGGUGCAAGACAGAACAGGAGAAACGGCCCGCCUGGCCGCAAGUCCCGCAAGGGAUGGAUGCCUCCGGGUAAUAGUCGCACCACUGCCGCGAGGCGGGGGCGGGCCGGUCGCUCUGGCCCGACAGAUAAAUGAUCACAGCAAGAUGCCGCGAGGUGUCGAGACACAGAAUCCGGCUUAUGAAGGCCGAUCCACCAU